GGACUACAGGGGUUUCUAAUCCUGUUUGCUCCCCACGCUUUCGUGUCUCAGUGUCAGUUCAGGCCCAGACGGUUGCUUUCGCCAUCGGUAUUCCUCCCGAUCUCUACGCAUUUCACCGCUACACCGGGAAUUCUGCCGUCCUCUACCGAACUCUAGUCCGCCAGUAUCGACUGCAAUUCCCGGGUUGAGCCCAGGGAUUUCACAAUCGACUUAGCGAGCCACCUACACACGCUUUACGCCCAGUAAAUCCGAUUAACGCUUGCACCCUCUGUAUUACCGCGGCUGCUGGCAC
rnacentral:rRNA from 2 species